CUUUUGUGCUCCUGAGAAGCUGCUUGGCCUGCUGUGUUCAUCCAGCUCCACGCUUUGUUAUCUCGGAUUCUCCAGCAUUUACAGUUCCCAUUAUCUCUGAUACAAUUACUGAGGACACCUGAUCGGCAUAGUCCACAGCAGCCCAGAACUCCUCCCCUCAAGCAAUUCGAUAGCCUCAUAUACACCUGUAAUCCGGCAAUUCAGAGGCUGAAGCCUUGAGUCACUGGACCUGAAACGUUAACUCUGAUUUUCUCUUCACAGACGCUGCCAGACCUGCUGAGCGUUUCCAGCAACUUUUGUUCGGACUCCAUGAUGUCUGGAUUAAGAAGGAAAGAAGAAAGAAGAGUAAUCCACCUCAAGAGUUAUUCCCGCAGCUACGAAUAGGAGAAGGACUCGAGAGCCACUGCACCAAGAACGACUCCUGCAGCCAUCUCCAACCACCAGUGACCAAUCACAACCUGUAGACCCAACAACCUCCGAGAACCACUAACCCGAACAACACCGCAAGGCCUCUGACACAUCUUGCGAUGAAAACCCGCUUGCAAAACCCACCAAAAAAUAAGAAAACCAAAGUACUCACUUGACACAUUCGCAAUACAUCUUACAGCAUCAGCAGACUCAACCCAGAUUUGAAGGCCUACACCAUCCGAAGUCUUCAGUAAAGCACCGGCGACAGCAAGCGAGAACGGCCAGCUGUAAUUCACAAUGACUUUGUCCCCAGUGUUCUUUCAGCAGCGGGAGUCAAGAAGGAAACGCGAGGGCAACCUGGGAAUGUAAGCAUUUCGAUUAUAAAAAUCUUACCUCGCGUGACUCGGCCUUUCAGCAGCAGAGGGAGAGGCGAAAGUGAGGACCAGGGGGCUGCUGGGAAUAUAUUUGGGCAGUGACUGAACCCGAGACACUACGCGUGUAGUGUGUCCCACCCGCACUCCUCCUCUAACCGAGAAAAAGGACUCAGCGGUGUGUUGGUAAGUUACUGCCCAGCUACUCGAUCACUACAAGAAUGAAAUGCCCGACUGCCUCAGAGGUCAUCCUCCUCGAUCUCUGAGAAAAAGAGUGUUGAAGGCUUGAGAGAAAGGAACAGUAAGACUGUCGCCUGCACCCCUCACCAGCACAGAUACUGAUAGCUCAGUGGGAUUGCUUUCCUUCGGAAGUGUGAACAUGCAAUGCGUUGAGCACCCCAGGUAUCGGGGGCUGUGUUGAGAGACUGCUGCUGCAUGUGGAGGCAAGAUGAACAAGGAAUAUUUAGGGAUCCUGCUGUUGUCCCAGUCAAAUUGGUGGUUCUCCUUAUCCAUGUAAAUGGAGACAAGACAGCAGAACACAAUGGCCAGAGACUGCACUGAUGGUGUUACCCUGCAGGGUAAUGAAGUAUCUGCGAACUAACGGACUAGCUUGGCCAGCGAACCAACCAUAAUAUAAACCUAAUGUAGAAAAAUGUAGAGGAGGAUGCUCUCUCACUUUAAAUGCCACAAACCAGUUUAAAAAGGAGUCAGGAUAAGGAACCUCAAUCAGCCUACAAAACCAAGAAUCGAAAAUCGACAAUUCAACAGCCAAUGUCAAUGCUACCAGUAAAGUUAAAUAUGAUGACUAUAACCUUCAAUUACCUGCUGUUUGCAAACUUUUCAGAGACUGAUCUGUAUAUCCUUUGUUUUUACUUUUAUCUCCUUGAACUCUUUAUUUCUAAUCUCCAUAUAUUUGUGUUGUGCUGUGUGUAGAAAUUAAUAAACUUAUUUUUGUUAUUUCAAA